rnacentral:rRNA from 1 species
CCUACGGGAGGCAGCAGUGGGGAAUAUUGGACAAUGGGGGCAACCCUGAUCCAGCCAUGCCGCGUGUGUGAAGAAGGCCCUCGGGUUGUAAAGCACUUUCAGUGAGGAAGAACGCCUGGUGGUUAAUACCCAUCAGGAAAGACAUCACUCACAGAAGAAGCACCGGCUAACUCCGUGCCAGCAGCCGCGGUAAUACGGAGGGUGCGAGCGUUAAUCGGAAUUACUGGGCGUAAAGCGCGCGUAGGUGGCUUGAUAAGCCGGUUGUGAAAGCCCCGGGCUCAACCUGGGAACGGCAUCCGGAACUGUCGAGCUAGAGUGCAGGAGAGGAAGGUAGAAUUCCCGGUGUAGCGGUGAAAUGCGUAGAGAUCGGGAGGAAUACCAGUGGCGAAGGCGGCCUUCUGGACUGACACUGACGCUGAGGUGCGAAAGCGUGGGUAGCAAACAGGAUUAGAUACCCGUGUAGUC